UCCUCCUCGACCUUCGGUCCGAGAUGGGGACGAGACCAGGUCGAGAAUAGGUCGAGGUAGGUCGAAAAAAGGUCGAGUUUAGGUCGACAUUAGGUCGAGUUGGUCGAGUUGAAGGUCGAGCUGGCCUGACAUGCCGAUCUGUGUUCGUCUAAGAGUCGAUCUGGACUCGGCCUCGACUCGACCUCGACUCGACCUUGAGUCAACCAACUCGAACUGGAUUCGACUUGGACUCAACCUGGAGUCAACCGAGUCGACCUGAAGUCAACCUAUCUCGACCUCAACACGACCUAAUCGAGUCCACGCCGACCGCAUAAAUGGUCGCCAUCUUCCCAGACGCUUCAUAAAAGCCAAGCGGCAGCCAGUGGUAGCACAUCAUCUCCACACCAACCUGCUGCCACCCAGAGGUCCACCCUGAGCACACCACCCUCUCCAACACGCCGCAAAGCAGCGAAACAGGCUGGUAUCUUCCCCAGCUUUGACUCCAGUGCUGCAGCAGGUAUAUCUCUGUACCUGCCAAGCGGUCUCUUGGACCCUACACACACCUCAGAGGAUCAGUCACAUGUUCAA